rnacentral:rRNA from 1 species
ACUUUCGAUGGUAGUUUAUGUGCCUACCAUGGUUGUAACGGGUAACGGAGAAUAAGGGUUCGACUCCCGGAGAGGGAGCCUGAGAAACGGCUACCACAUCCAAGGAAGGCAGCAGGCGCGCAAAUUACCCACUCUCGGCAUGAGGAGGUAGUGACGAAAAAUAACGAGACCGUUCUCUUCGAGGCCGGUUAUCGGAAUGGGUACAAUUUAAACCAGUUAACGAGGAUCUAUGAGAGGGCAAGUCUGGUGCCAGCAGCCGCGGUAAUUCCAGCUCUCAAAGUGUAUAUCGUCAUUGCUGCGGUUAAAAAGCUCGUAGUUGGAUCUGCGCCUCAGGAAGCCGGUCCGUCCUUUGGACGAGAACUGGUCGCCUAGGCUAGUACUGUCGGUUUUCCCUGCGUUGCCUUGAUCGGUCGCGUAGGGUGGCCGGCGAGUUUACCUUGAAAAAAUUAGAGUGCUCAACGCGGGCUGACGCCUGAAUACUCGUGCAUGGAAUAAUGAAAUAGGAUCUCGGUUCUAUUUUGUUGGUUUUCUGAUCUGAGAUAAUGGUUAAGAGGGACGGACGGGGGCAUUCGUAUCGCUGCGUGAGAGGUGAAAUUCUUGGACCGUAGCGAGACGCCCGACUGCGAAAGCAUUUGCCAAGAAUGUCUUCAUUAAUCAAGAACGAAAGUCAGAGGUUCGAAGGCGAUCAGAUACCGCCCUAGUUCUGACCGUAAACGAUACCAACUAGCGUUCCGUCGGUGGUAAAUACGCCUUGACGGGCAGCUUCCCGGGAAACGAAAGUUUUUCGGUUCCGGGGGAAGUAUGGUUGCAAAGCUGAAACUUAAAGAAAUUGACGGAAGGCACCACCAGGAGU